GUCACCCAGGGAUCUUGUUAAAUGCAGAUUCCGAUUCAGUCAAUCUGGAUGGAGCCUGAGAUUCUACAUUUCUAACAAGCUCCCAGGUGAUACCGG
rfam:Pan troglodytes isolate Yerkes chimp pedigree #C0471 (Clint) chromosome 3, whole genome shotgun sequence.